rnacentral:rRNA from 1 species
UACGGAGGGUGCAAGCGUUGUCCGGAUUUAUUGGGCUUAAAGGGUGCGUAGGCGGCUAAUUAAGUCAGCGGUGAAAUUCCACAGCUCAACUGUGGAACUGCCAUUGAUACUGGUUGGCUUGAGUACAGAUGAGGUAGGCGGAAUUGACAGUGUAGCGGUGAAAUGCGUAGAUAUUGGCAAGAACACCUAUUGCGAAGGCAGCUUACUAAGCUGUAACUGACGCUGAGGCACGAAAGCGUGGGGAGCAAACAGG